ACGCUGGCGGCGUGCUUAACACAUGCAAGUCGAGCGAUGAAACACCUUCGGGUGUGAAUUAGCGGCGAACGGGUGAGGAACACGUGAGAAAUCUGCCUUCAACUCUGGGAUAACUCCGGGAAACCGGGGCUAAUACCGGAUAUGAGCCUUGAUCGCAUGAUCGGGGCUGGAAAGUUUUUCGGUUGAAGAUGAUCUUGCGGCCUAUCAGCUUGUUGGUGAGGUAAUGGGCUCACCAAGGCGACGACGGGUAGCCGGCCUGAGAGGGCGACCGGCCACACUGGGACUGAGACACGGCCCAGACUCCUACGGGAGGCAGCAGCGGGGAAUAUUGGGCAAUGGAGGAAACUCUGACCCAGCGACGCCGCGUGAGGGAUGAAGGCCUUCGGGUUGUAAACCUCUUUCAGUAGGGAAGAAGCGAAAGUGACGGUACCUACAGAAGAAGCACCGGCUAACUAUGUG
rnacentral:rRNA from 1 species